GGCCGCCGUCUCCCGCUAAAGGGACCCGAGCUGCCUCGGCGGCCGUCUCGCCCCAGCGGACGGCGAGCGCCUCCGGAGCCGGGACGGCGUCCUCGUCACUUCGGUCUGGCACGUAGUGGGGCCUAGCAAGAGGCUGCCAGGUGGAAGGAGGCAGAGGUGGCGCGGGCCCGGCACUUAGUGGGUGCGCCCUGAGUGUUUGGUCAUUGCCGGCCUUGGGGACUUGCUCGCAGGCUUGGAGGCGGGGGGCACUCUGACGUGUCGCCUUUGGGAGCACCGUGAGACCCGCGAUUGAACUUCAGACAAGGCUGGACUACCACCUGUAAACCAGAGACAACUUUUCAUUUGAAUGAACAGAAUCAAAGACUAAAAUAAAAGGGGAAAUAAUGUAUCUUGAUUGUGACAGUACAUAGAAACUAUCUUAUCCACCACUGUUGGAAUAUGAUAGGGACAGUCAGUACCAUCCCUUUCUUCUAAAUCCAGAACCAAUGAGAAGAGGAAAAUACAACUCUAUCACCAACAGAGCUGCACUCAAGAAUGUGGCUUGGCUGAUGACCGGGAGGCUUUUUAAUAUUCCCUGAAUUAAAAUGAUCUCCCCCCCUGGG